rfam:Mesorhizobium australicum strain B5P genome assembly, contig: Ga0048943_13
CGUCAAGAGUCUUUGUACUCUGCGCCGUUUCGGCGAGCGGAUUUCUUUUGCCUAACAAAAGGUAAAGGGAAAUG